GCGACUUCUCGUGUGCUCCUUCACUAUUUUACGGGGUAAAAGAAGUUGUGGAUAAGCUUCCGUCUACCAUCUAUGGUGGUGUGCGCCAUCCCGUGAGGAGGUGAAACCAAACUAACAAACAAAUCAGUCCAUUUUAAGAGAGAGAGAGAGAGAGAGAGAGAGAGAGAGAGAGAGAUGGAAGUGGGUAUGUCGUUGAACGCGCUGGUUCGGCUGCCAAUGUCGAAUAUUUCAAGAACAAGCGAAGAGGGUCUAACCAAACACUCCUCCUUGUUCUCUUCUCUUUCCACGACCCCAAGAAAGCCUGCUAGGCACGGGCAGCGGCAGCGAAUGUUGGUGGUGAAAGCGAAGGGCAAAAAAGGGAUGAUGAAUCGUCAGUUCCAACCCCGUACGCCUCCCCCUUUGCCCAAGCUUGAAGACGAUGGCAACCCGAAAUUCGUUCUCUUCAUCUGCUCGGCCAAGGUUGGCCUUUGGUACCCACUCAGUAUAAUAUCCGGUGGUACAACUGCCAAGAUUAUGGUUGCAGCUAAAGAUAAUUUUCUUGGGAAGUAUAUAUAUAAAGAUACUAUUGCUAGGAAUCUUGCGGCAGUUAUUUACAGAGAUGAAAAGGAGAUACAAAAGACAGCACUUAAGCAGCACAGUUCAUUGCGUUCAGCUACUGAGUUCAGAUAUGGCUACAAACUUGUUGAGAAUAACAAUUUGAGAGCUGCACUUGCUUCUUCUGAUGUAAUUGAGCUCCCGACAAAAGACAAGCUCAAAACAGUGCUCGAUAAGGUGAAAGACUUCUUUGGGGAUGCCAAGGAAUCCUUCGGGAAGCUGACAGCCCUAAAUUUAACCACAACAGAGGAGUUGGAGGAAAAACCCAAAGAGCAAUCCAAGGUUAAAGGCUGAAGCUGAAAUCAUUUGAAUCACAUGUUUCUGUAGCUGGUGGUUUUGGGAGAUCAAUGAGCUUUAUGUGGGACAAAUUCACUUGCCAGCAAAAUGAGCGAGGUACUGAGAGUACACAAUUGCCAUGUCAAAUGCAUCGGAAACCCUGUGUGCAAGGAAAAUGCUUUUUGGAGUCUUUUUACGUACAAACGUAAGAACUCAAAGCUCCGUUCCAUACUGAUGGUAGGGACAAGUUCUAAAGAUGAUUAGAUAAUUCAAAGUUUUCUUUCAAGUCAUUGGCUCCUUCCUGUUGAACUUGAACCAUUGUGGAAACUGGUGGGGUGAGUCUGCUGUUAAUUUGCUUUCACGCAGCUUUCAGACUUUAAUGCGCUAGAACUAGUCCUCUCCACCUCUGACCCUGUAGCUUCAGUUUCCUGACCUUCCUCUCGAUCUAAGCACGUUAACGUGGAUACAGGGGUGGGCGCAUACACAUAAAAUUAAGAAUGCAGCUGCAGCGGGAACAUUGCAAUUUUUUGUAUAUAGUCUGUCAUAUGUUAGGCAUAUUAAUAGCCACAAAACAUAACUUGCGAGGUCAUUUGUGAUUUUGGGCUUGGUUGGAUUGGUCCUUCUAGUAUAAGCUUUUUCCUCUUUCCAUAUUUGAUUUAAUUUUCAAGUGUUAUUGUUUCACCCCCAAAAGGCUAGCAUGCCUAAAGGAGCUGAUGUUGAAUCGGAGCAAGUCUGUUUAUCUAAGAAGGAAGGUGGCUUAGGUUUGAAGGUUCUUGAAGUUGAGGAAUGGGAUAAGGUCACUAUGAGUAGGCGUAUUGGGCCAUCUGCAAUAAAGCUGACAUCCUUCGGUUCAAAUGUAUACACUUUUGUGAUAAAAUACGACAGUUUCUGAUUCAUGUCCUUCCCCCCUCAAUUGUCUUGGACUAUGAGGAUGAUUUUCAAUCAUAGAGGCUGGGCAAGGGUGAAUAAAGUAUGGGGAACUCUGCCUUCUUAUGGGUUGACAACAGGCACCCUAUAAGAACUUUGUACCAACAUUUUGGGGAAAGAGUGGUGUUCAACAUGGAUAGAUCUCUUGCAGCCAUGGUGAGCUCUGCCAUGGUCUGUGGUGGAUGGGCCUGGCCUAGGGGAAGAAAUCAUGUCACUAUGGAAAUAGUAAACCAAACUCUCAGGUGGAGGAUUCUGUUCUUUGGAUUCUAUCCAAGAAUGGAAAAUGUUUAUCAAUGGCUGGCAGUCCAUGGCAUAAAAUCAGAACCACUCAGGUUUGUUGGAAUGAUCUGGUCUGGUUUAAGCAAAACAUACUCCUAGAUGGGCCAUAAGUCAAUGGCUGGCAGUCCAUGGGAGAUUAGCCACCCGUGACAGGCUGUUCUAUGCUAGAGGUGGGGAAAGUCAUCAGCCUCUAUUUGUUGAGGGCACUCUCUCCUAGAUGAGCUAUAAGUCAAUGGCUGGCAGUCCAUGGGAGAUGGGCCAUAAGUCAAUGGCUGGCAGUCCAUGGGAGAUUAGCCACCCGUGACAGGCUGUUCUACUGGGGUGUCAGUCGAGAUCAAAGUUGUGUGCUCUAUGCUAGCAGUGGGGAAAGUCAUCAGCCUCUAUUUGUUGAGUGCACUCUGUUCAAUUUGGUCUGGAAAUCUGUACUGUCCAAGAAUGGCAUCUCUAGAACUCCAAUGGGGCUUCUAUGGAAUAUAGCCAAGGAGCUAGUCUUGAAGCUCUCUGGCUGCUAUGUAUCAAGCACGGGUGAGAGCAAAAAGGGGGAUUCUGCUAGCUUGUUGCAUAAGAUCUUGGAAGACAUCAGAGCUUGUCUUUGUGCUUGGGGUAAAGUGCCUAAUCGUUCAGCAUAUGUUUCUGGUUUGUAGGAGCUGGAAUUCAGAUUGUGUAAUUAGGGUCCGUCCGUUUGUUUGGACGUAUGAUAUUUCUGUGUAAAAUAUUUUACUUAUUUUCCCUUGUUUGGUUGGACAAAAAAUUAAAAAACUUUUUCCAUGGUAAAUUUUUUUUCACGAUCUGGCUGAAAAUGAUUUCCUUUUCCUUUCAAAACGUCGGUAAGUUGUUUUAAACCCGGCGUGCCGAUGGAUUUUUUCCGUUCCCCACCUAUCGAAACCCCCAACUGAGGUGUUCUCUAUUAGGUCCAUUUGUCUAAUAGUUCACCAAGAGAUUUAUAGGGAGAAUUUUCCAUAGGUCCACUAUAGCACUUUCCAAACUCAUCUAGUCCACUUCUAAAUUUCAUAACCCCUUAAGUCCACUAACCUAUCAUUAGGGAUUAAAUGAACUCGACAAGACCAAUAUACCCCUGAUUUUAAAAACCAUUUUGCCCCGUCUCAUCCAUUUCAAAAUUCUUCCAAUUCAAAAAAUUAUAAAACCCCCCCCCUUCCCCCCCCCCCCCCAUUUUCAUAUGUUUCAUCCCUUUUCAGAAGAAAGGCCCAGUUCCCAGCCAGUCGGUUCAUCUUCAACCACUCCAUCAGCGAGAAGCACUCGAUCGCCGUCGCUGUCCUCAAGCACUCAAAUCCCGGCGUCGUCAAGCACUCAAAUCCCGGCGUCGUCAAGCACUCGAUUGUCGUUGUCACUCCAACAGCGAGAUCAACAGAUGAAAAGCAGAGAUCAACCCACAUCCCAGACUUCCUCCGUCGUUGAUCGUCGACCUAGCCCAAGGUACGAUCGUUGCAAAUAUCCGUCAUCGAUCGUCGCCGACACCGCACUCCUCCUCGCCAUCAUCCUUCAUCCAUCACCGCCAUAGCCGCGAACCGCGAGAGGUAAGAGGCAGAGAUCUGCCCGUCGUUGCCUUUCAUCGUCACAGCUGCACUCCUCUUCCUCCUCCUCGCCGUCACCCUUCAUCGAAUAGAUCACCAUCACCAACGCCGACAACGCCUUCUAGGGUGCGUGUGAUUGUGAUCGUUAGGUUUGGUUUACACUUGGAUCCGUAACUGUUUGUGACUAUUUUUCGUUCUUUUUUCUGGCAGCAACAGCAAGAAGACGAGGAAGGCCCCCAACCCAUGGAAGUUGUUUAAGGAGUGAAGAGUAUUAAGUUACCUGUGAAAUCGACUGUGAAGAAGGCGACGGCGGCAAAAGAAAAGAAGUUACGAGAUCUCCUCUUUUUAUUUUUUUAGAGUUAGAACGGACAAAAUCUCAUGUAUAACGUUUUUUGUGUGUAUUACUGUUACUAGAAGCAAGUCAUUGAGGCUGCUGCGCGGAUCAAUUCUAUAAAGUGAAAAUAUAAUAUUAUAUAAGAGUUUUUGUGCAA